AACGCCAUACGUUCUACCCCCCAACCGAUAUAAGCUUGCGACCAAGUGUCCCAAAACCUGAGCCUAUGGAGGCCAAUACAAUAACUUCAGCAGUUGGAGAAAGUAUUCAUCAGGAGAAGACCCAUGUUUCUUCAGACUAUUCAAAGAGUCCAUCCUUACAAAACCACUAUAGACUACUGGCAAUGGUAAGGGUAAAUGGUUCUUCCUGGGCUUGGCCGGAGUCCUGCCACAGGUGGUCAAUAGAUACAAACUGAAAGCUGAACAGAUGAAGCCACGGCAGUGUCUAUCAUUAAUCACGGCUGUGCUCUGAUCUUCUGUUUCUGGGUGUCGCAGUUACCCAGCAUCUAUCGUCCCAAUGGCUCUGCUAAGAAGGUCUUUUGUUCCACUCCAGAUGGGAUUGCCCAGUGAAAUAUUGGAGCUCCACUGAAAUUCAAUAAAU
ensembl:lncRNA AABR07052085.2